UAAGGCUGGGAAGGAGAACGUCCUCAUCCGUCCCCAGCCAGCCUCAGCCUGCUCCUGUCUCCCGAGCCCGGCGGCUCUUCCCCAGGCUCUGAGGCCAAGUGGAGCAGAGCAUCACAGCCUUCGUUUCCUUGUUCAGAAGGUCGUGGCCGGCCGCGGUGACGUCCACCUUGCCCAGCCCUUCCUACUAAAGGCGGAGGCGCUGUCAGGCUGGAGAGCUGUUAGGACAUUUCCUGUGUGUCCCGGUCCUGGCCGCGGCUCUGUGUAGCCGGGGUGGAUUUCGACAUUGUUCUCCUGAUGGAAGUCAAGCUUUCUGGUUCACAGCGAGAAGAAACGGAAGAAAGAUUUUUUUCCCCAACUGAAAAGUCUUAUUAAACUAAUCUUAGUAUAAAUAAGGGAAAACGAGAUGAUUCAAGGAACCUUCUUCCAGAAUAGCAAAAAUGUCUUUUAGUUACAAACUGUUUUUUAAACCAGUUUUAAUGCAGUUCUGCAUCUGUUUUCUUAGGGUUUUCAAGUUCCAGAUACCCUAGAAUGUUGAUGAAAUGAAUCAGAGAUAUAACAACAACAACAACAACAACAACAAUAACAACAAAGUGAAACCAAAAGAAAGCAUAGAGAAUCCUUGCUAAGUAGCAAGAGAGAUUUAGUGCUAAAUAAUCUCCUCAAGUUAAAAAGUCAGACGGCAACUUUAGGAAACCUAGUUUGCGGAACACCCCUAUUUUAAAUUAUCGAAAAUAUUAUGAGGUCUUUACUUGCAAAUUGGAGUUCUUCAACUCUGAGUAUUUGAGUUAACAAUAUGGGAGUUUUCAGAACUGUGCGGGAAAGGCACACCAAACUUUAUACCACUUUUUCAGGAAAAGAUGGGAUUUUCCCACUUAUGAAGGAUUUCUAAUUAUUAUACAAACUUGGUGAAAAAAUAACGGGAAUCAUUACAUAAAAUAGUAAGGUAAUUUUGCUCUCUCAUUCUGACAUUUCAUUCCAGGUUUUCCCCACACAUAUCCUUCUGUAAAUACAGGACACAUUAUCAACUCAACUUGAUUCUCCCCCGCCCCCAAAGAAACUGUCUUUUUUUUUUUUUUGCAGUUGUUUUAUAUAUAGUUUUGUAGAAUAUUGCCAAUCCAAAGUGUGAUUGUUGUCUGUCCAUUGCUAUGUCCAUGAGGAGUACAUAUAUACAUGCAUGCAUAUAUAAACAUACAUAUCUGUUCAUUUUUCGAUUAUAAAUAGCAUCCCCGUGUAAGCGAUGGGAGGACCUGGUGACACACCAUUUCUGGCUCGCCCUGAGUCCUUGGAGACACUGAGUCAGAGUAUUAAACUCCUCUGAAAACUGCUUUCAAAAUGGCUCCAGUGAUUAUUAAAAUCACCAGUACGCACUCAUUUCAGUUUCAUGAUGUCCUCAGUAAGAUUAGAUAUCGCAUUGAUGCCUGAAUAGUUUUAGUUUGCUUACAUUUUAUAAUUGCAUUGUUUGGUAAUUAGGAUGGAUGCAUUCUCAUAUUUAUUUCCUAAUAUUCUUUGCUCUUUGUAAAUGUGUUGGUUCAGAUGAAGAAAAUACAGUUCAGGUGGUGGUCGGAUGAUAAUCACGAAAUGUGUCCUUGACUAGAAACUGAGCAAGCCUCCAGUGUUCUGAUAAACAGCCUCUACCGUGUCAUCCUAAACGCAGUUCUCCUCUGAAGUAGUAAUUUUGACUAAAUUGGCUUGUAGGGCAUUGAGUAUUGAUGUGAGAUGUCUUAGGUAUAAUAUUGUGGCAUUAUCUGUAGGAAUUAUGACUGUUGUUCUCAAAUCUUUGAACAGAUUUGAUGUAUUUGGCUCUCCAAAUUUUGCCAUGGUUAAU